rnacentral:tRNA from 1 species
AUUUAUAUAGUAUAAAAAUUAUAUUUAACUUCCAAUUAAAAGAUCUAUUAAUUAGUAUAAAUA